rnacentral:rRNA from 1 species
UACGAAGGUCCCGAGCGUUGUUCGGAAUCACUGGGCGUAAAGGGAGCGUAGGCGGCGCGGUAAGUCAGAUGUGAAAUCCCUGGGCUCAACCCAGGAACUGCACUCGAAACUACUAUUCUUGAGUGUCGGAGAGGAAAGCGGAAUUCCUGGUGUAGAGGUGAAAUUCGUAGAUAUCAGGAGGAACACCAGUGGCGAAGGCGGCUUUCUGGACGAUAACUGACG